rnacentral:rRNA from 1 species
AUUGAACGCUGGCGGCAUGCCUUACACAUGCAAGUCGAACGGUAACGGGCCUUCGGGUGCCGACGAGUGGCGAACGGGUGAGUAAUACAUCGGAACGUGCCCGAUCGUGGGGGAUAACGAGGCGAAAGCUUUGCUAAUACCGCAUACGAUCUACGGAUGAAAGCAGGGGACCGCAAGGCUUUGCGCGGACGGAGCGGCCGCUGGCAGAUUAGGUAGUUGGUGGGAUAAAAGCUUACCAAGCCGACGAUCUGUAGCUGGUCUGAGAGGAUGAUCAGCCACACUGGGACUGAGACACGGCCCAGACUCCUACGGGAGGCAGCAGUGGGGAAUUUUGGACAAUGGGCGCAAGCCUGAUCCAGCCAUGCCGCGUGCAGGAUGAAGGCCUUCGGGUUGUAAACUGCUUUUGUACGGAACGAAAAGCCUUCUUUUAAUACAGGAGGGUCAUGACGGUACCGUAAGAAUAAGCACCGGCUAACUACGUG